rnacentral:rRNA from 1 species
GAUGAACGCUGGCGGCGUGCCUAAUUCAUGCAAGUCGAGCGAACAGACGAGGAGCUUGCUCCUCUGACGUUAGCGGCGGACGGGUGAGUAACACGUGGAUAACCUACCUAUAAGACUGGGAUAACUUCGGGAAACCGGAGCUAAUACCGGAUAAUAUAUUGAACCGCAUGGUUCAAUAGUGAAAGACGGUUUUGCUGUCACUUAUAGAUGGAUCCGCGCCGCAUUAGCUAGUUGGUAAGGUAACGGCUUACCAAGGCGACGAUGCGUAGCCGACCUGAGAGGGUGAUCGGCCACACUGGAACUGAGACACGGUCCAGACUCCUACGGGAGGCAGCAGUAGGGAAUCUUCCGCAAUGGGCGAAAGCUUGACGGAGCAACGCCGCGUGAGUGAUGAAGGUCUUCGGAUCGUAAAACUCUGUUAUUAGGGAAGAACAAAUGUGUAAGUAACUAUGCACGUCUUGACGGUACCUAAUCAGAAAGCCACGGCUAACUACGUG